rnacentral:lncRNA from 1 species
UGGACAAAAUUUAAACUACUGAUGGAAUUGAUAAAAAUGUAUUUUUUGUAUAUGCAUACAGUUCCUCUGCCUGAAAAACAUCCGGACAUUUCUGACGGCAUGUCACGAGAAGUUCGGGAUGAAGAAGAGCGAACUGUUCGAGGCCUUCGACCUGUUCGAUGUCCGAGACUUCGGCAAGGUAAUUGGAACGCUGUCCGUUCUGUCCCAAACACAUGUAGCAGUACAACGGGGAUACAGGUGAGAACUUUUAUACCAUGAAUGUUUAAAAUCAAAAUUUGUAUUGUGUUUAAUGAUUAAUAUAAAAAUAAUACACCCUAGUCAAAUGUCAUUGGAGAGAAGUAUGUAAAUAUGUAAAUUCAUCAAGAAGUAUUACUUCAGGUGUUGGCUAAGGGAUGCCCACAUACACUGUAUAAGUUUUGAGGUGUUCACUUGUGAGUAAGAGUGAUUACUUGUGUAUCA